rnacentral:rRNA from 1 species
CAAUGGGCGAAAGCCUGAUCCAGCAAUGCCGCGUGUGUGAAGAAGGCCUUCGGGUUGUAAAGCACUUUUGUCCGGAAAGAAAUCCUGGUGGCUAAUAUCCGCCGGGGAUGACGGUACCGGAAGAAUAAGCACCGGCUAACUACGUGCCAGCAGCCGCGGUAAUACGUAGGGUGCGAGCGUUAAUCGGAAUUACUGGGCGUAAAGCGUGCGCAGGCGGUUUUGUAAGACCGAUGUGAAAUCCCCGGGCUUAACCUGGGAACUGCAUUGGUGACUGCAAGGCUUGAGUAUGGCAGAGGGGGGUAGAAUUCCACGUGUAGCAGUGAAAUGCGUAGAGAUGUGGAGGAAUACCGAUGGCGAAGGCAGCCCCCUGGGUCAAUACUGACGCUCAUGCACGAAAGCGUGGGGAGCAAACAGGAUUAGAUACCCUGGUAGUCCACGCCCUAAACGAUGUCAACUGGUUGUCGGGUCUUCAUUGACUUGGUAAC